rnacentral:rRNA from 1 species
AACGAACGCUGGCGGCAUGCCUAACACAUGCGAGUCGAACGAGACCUUCGGGUCUAGUGGCGCACGGGUGCGUAACGCGUGGGAACCUGCCUUUAGGUUCGGAAUAACUCAGAGAAAUUUGAGCUAAUACCGGAUGAUGUCUUCGGACCAAAGAUUUAUCGCCUUUAGAUGGGCCCGCGUUGGAUUAGCUAGUUGGUGGGGUAAAGGCCUACCAAGGCGACGAUCCAUAGCUGGUCUGAGAGGAUGAUCAGCCACACUGGGACUGAGACACGGCCCAGACUCCUACGGGAGGCAGCAGUGGGGAAUAUUGGACAAUGGGCGAAAGCCUGAUCCAGCAAUGCCGCGUGAGUGAUGAAGGCCUUAGGGUUGUAAAGCUCCUUUACCCGAGAUGAUAAUGACAGUAUCGGGAGAAUAAGCUCCGGCUAACUCCGUG